UUCAAAUUUCUUUAGUGCUUCGUUUCCAAAAAGUCUCUGCUAUAAAACUGUGAAGUAGUCAUUCAGAGAUCAACUUUGGGACCUAAACUGUUCUGAGGAAGAAACAGAAGUCGUGUUAGAAAUAAAUACUAGCCAGCAUUCAGGACUUUGAGUGUCUUCUACCCAUCACUACCCACUGUCGCUUCCUCACCUGAAGGAUUCCAUCUGUAGCUGAGGUGUUUAUUCAGCCAUGGCAUAAGUGCAUUACUUUCUGCCUUCGAAGGAGGAUCGAUUCCAAAAUUGUCCUGGUUUUCAGUGGAAAUCAUGUACUAGUUCUGAGGCUUCCUUCCGGAUAGUUCAAAAGAUUGGAAGUUUGUUAAUGGUUACCAUAUCUUCAGUAUGUAAUAAGGAAGAACAAUGUCAUAUGAGAUACGUCAAACGACACUUACACUGAAGUGUCACUGGCUGGUGUGAACUGCACCGUAAGAAUCUUAUUACAGCUUGGCUAAAGUUAGGAAUGUGUUAAAAGUGGUCUCAUACCACUCUUACAUUAUUAUUUUCUCUAAAUUAUGGUAAGACUAAUGUUCCCCACAACACUGGGAUUAAUUUAUUAGGUGAGUUUGCUUUUCUUCUAUAAACAAGAAGAAAGAAAAUUUGAGAAAGCUUUCAACUUCCUGAGGCAGAAGUUGAUAUUUCCACGUACAUAUAUUCCCUCAUGAUAACAUUCAGUUUCAUACUAACCCAGCAGCCAGAAUAAAACAUAUUAGAACAAACUGUGGUCUCA
rnacentral:lncRNA from 1 species